ACCCGCUGAACUUAAGCAUAUCAAUAAGCGGAGAA
rnacentral:rRNA from 1 species